AUGAGGAUGAGGAUGAAGAGAAGGCCGACGAAGAUGAUUCCUCUGGCAGGGCGCAUUUUAUCGGAGCACUUAUCAGCACCAGAGAUAAUAACUGUAAACAUUAUCGCGAAUGGUUGCUAUUAAAAAGUUGUAGCUCGUAGUCAUUCAUAGAGCAAUAAAAAUUAGUUGGGUAUUUUUUUCUUAUGGCUCAAGUUGAUGCCAAAGGGUUAUUGAACGUGUCGGCAUGAACACGCAAUCAACCCGCACGAGCAGUAGAAUGGCUCAAUGGCGAUACCUCCAGCACACCAGCUAGCCUAGUAUAUAUAUAUAAAGCUUUGCGUGAGAUGCACAAAAGCGCAAUUACGCCGUUAACGUGGGAAAGUUCAAAGCUUCCGGGUGAUACUGAAGUGGUUGGUAUUAAAAAGGUGCUGGGGACCACGAUGGACACUACACUCUGCAAUCACCCUCGGCUCACUCUAAUGGAAUUUUAAUACUACACAUUAUUUUUUAACUUUAAUACAUACAAUAGCUGGGUUUUGGUCGACUCGCGGCCGUAGUUCAAGGCACUCCAUUAGCCGACAAAAUCCCUGUAUUUGCGCGGCAGGUGAAAUAAUAAGACCGGAUGUGAUGUCAUGCAAGUGUGAGUAGUCAGAGAAAGAGGUAAAGGUACGCGUGCGUACAAUGAAAUAGUUAAUAUAUUGUAGUGAACACGCUAUCGCUAUUGCUUUUGCUUUUGCUUUGGUCCUGUAACUGGUGAUGGUGAUGGUGCUGGUACUAGAGCUCGACAUCUAGCUACUGUACAUCAACCGAUAGUUGACCUGACCAUUAUUCUCACCACAAUGUACUUCCUUUUAUCAAAACACCACUAACACAUUACGACACAUACACACCUUUAUUAUUAUUAUUAUUAUUAUUAUUUAUUACUAAAACCAUUUCUAGCCUUUUUACGUACUUCAUUUCCUAAAUCCAUUCUAACCAGGCUUCCUUUCCAUUAUUUUAUUCUUUCAUACGACAUGAUAUUAAAUAAU